AUCCGGAUGACCAGUCCAAAAUAGGACAAAAUGAGCAUCCUGGAU
rnacentral:hammerhead_ribozyme from 1 species